AGUAUGGUCGCAAGGCCGAAACUUAAAGGAAUUGACGGAAGGGCACCACCAGGAGUGGAAUCUGCGGCUUAAUUGACCCAACGCGGGAAAACUCACCAGGUCAGGACACGGUAAGGAUUGACGGACUGAAGGCUCUUUCUCGAUUCCGUGGAAAGUGGUGCAUGGCCGUUUUUGGUUGGUGGAUCGAUCCGUCUGGUUAAUUCCGUUAACGAACGAGACCUCGGCACUCCGAAUAGCGCGGCGGACGUCGCGGCCUCCGGGCCGUCUUCCGCACGAGCUUCUUAGAGGGACCGUCCCCCGCCGGGGAAGGAGGUGCGAGGCAACGACAGGUCUGUGAUGCCCUUAGAUGUUCUGGGCCGCACGCGCAUUACACUGACGCGUCCAACGGGUGACUCCCGACCCGAAGGGGCCGGGGAAUCCGCAAGGCGCGUCGUGAUGGGGAUUGAACGUUGCAAUUGUUGUUCACGAAC
rnacentral:rRNA from 1 species